rnacentral:rRNA from 1 species
CACAUCGACGGGGAGGUUUGGCACCUCGAUGUCGGCUCAUCGCAUCCUGGGGCUGUAGUCGGUCCCAAGGGUUGGGCUGUUCGCCCAUUAAAGCGGUACGCGAGCUGGGUUCAGAACGUCGUGAGACAGUUCGGUCCCUAUCCGUCGUGGGCGUAGGAAAUUUGAGAGGAGCUGUCCUUAGUACGAGAGGACCGGGAUGGACAUACCUCUGGUGUACCAGUUGUCGUGCCAACGGCAUAGCUGGGUAGCUAUGUAUGGACGGGAUAAGUGCUGAAAGCAUCUAAGCAUGAAGCCCCCCUCAAGAUGAGAUUUCCCAACUUCGGUUAUAAGAUCCCUCGAAGAUGACGAGGUUAAUAGGUUCGAGGUGGAAGCGUGGUGACACGUGGAGCUGACGAAUACUAAUCGAUCGAAGACUUAAUCAAUUUUUAAA